ACGAAGGGGGCUAGCGUUGCUCGGAAUCACUGGGCGUAAAGGGCGCGUANGCGGCCAUUUAAGUCGGGGGUGAAAGCCUGUGGCUCAACCACAGAAUUGCCUUCGAUACUGGGUGGCUUGAGUCCGGAAGAGGUUGGUGGAACUGCGAGUGUAGAAGUGAAAUUCGUAGAUAUUCGCAAGAACACCGGUGGCGAAGGCGGCCAACUGGUCCGGAACUGACGCUGAGGCGCGAAAGCGUGGGGAGCAAACAGGAUUAGAUACCCUGGUAGUCAAGGGCGAAUUCGC
rnacentral:rRNA from 1 species